rnacentral:rRNA from 1 species
GACGAACGCUGGCGGCGUGCUUAAUACAUGCAAGUCGAGCGAGGUUACUGUUUCGGAUCCCUUCGGGGUGAAGAAGCUUUAACCUAGCGGCGGACGGGUGAGUAACGCGUGGGUAACCUACCCCAAAGUCCGGGAUAACAGCGGGAAACCGCUGCUAAUACCGGAUGCCUUUACCUUGGGGCAUCUUGAGGUAAAGAAAGGCAACGCUUUGGGAUGGGCCCGCGUCCCAUUAGCUAGUUGGUGAGGUAACGGCUCACCAAGGCGACGAUGGGUAGCCGGCCUGAGAGGGUGGACGGCCACACUGGGACUGAGACACGGCCCAGACUCCUACGGGAGGCAGCAGUAGGGAAUAUUGCGCAAUGGACGGAAGUCUGACGCAGCGACGCCGCGUGAGCGAUGAAGGUCUUCGGAUCGUAAAGCUCUGUCCUUGGGGAAGAAGGCGAAAGCUUGACGGUACCCAAGAAGAAAGCCCCGGUAACUACGUGCCAGCAGCCGCGGUAAGAGUACUCUAU